GGGUGCGCGGGCACAAAGGGGCCGCUGCACAUGGCAGGCAGGCGAGCAGAUGCCAGCAGACAGCUUUUGUCGUGCAGGAUCCCAGUCCUCCACCUGACCCGCUCCUGUCUGAACAUCCUGCUGCGAGUCAAGGCAAAUGGGCUCAGCCACUGUCCCACCCCAGCGGGCCUGGAGUGGACUCCCCGCGAGCCUGCAGAGGGGCAGGAUGCUGAGCGCCGGGGGUCUCACCCAGCCCCAGGGAAGAGGCGGUUUUAGUCAGUGAACCAAGAGGGGAUGAAGGGGCGAGCGCAAGCGGCCUCCUGUUCCCUCGGGAACUUGAGGGGGUGUCGGGAUGUGCUCCCCUCUCUGCACUCAGCUGGGAAAGAGCCGGUGGAGACUUUUCCCCUCUGAGCAGAGAGAGAAUUCUCCUCCCCUCCCCCGCCCCGCCUCCGUCCACUCCCACAGCCACCAGUUCUCUGGGCAACCCUAGUUAGCAGUUUGGGCCUUUCUUUCUGCACACAAUUGACGUGGAGGGCCUGAGUCUGGCCCAUUCAGACGCCACAUGGAACACUCUGUUUUUGUCACCGCGCUCUCAUCUUCUAGAAGCAUAGCCUCAUCCAACAGAAAGAGGCAAAAGCGAUCGGGCCUGACCCCUCCCAGGGACAGUGUUUGCACUUCGUUCCAUGGCACAGUGUCUUCUGUAACUUUAAGAUUUAACAUCUCAGAUUAUUUUCCACCGGGGCUCCCAUCGAUGCUGAGUUCUGGCUACUUUUUUCCCCUAACGCUGAAAGGUUCGAUUCUUCCGUCUAUCCAUCAACAAAUCGCAUUGAAUGACGCUGCUCAGUGACCCAGGAUGCCACUGGAGACAAAACACACUAUACAUAUUUUCUGGUCUCCCUGGAAAAUUAGUGCAAACACUUUCAUCACUGCGGAGAAGGGAAAUAUGCGCAGAGCUGUGAAGAUCUGCUUUGUUUUUUGUUUUUCUCAGAGGAGAUUUCCCUCCUUCACACAGUGAAAUUUAUAUUGUUCUUUGUCUGCAAAUUAACCAGUUAAGUAGAAUUCCUGUAUGUCUGUUUCCCUUUCUGCAAGCCACGGCUCCUCUUUCUCUCCACCCUGUAUCCACACAUAGUCCAGGGUCACCCCGUCCCCCACAAUGCUGCUUGAAAUUUCGUUCCAUUUUCGUCCUGACUUGUUCAAAGUAACAUUGAAAAUAUUUUAAUUCAAACUCCUGUCUCAUCAGUCCUUUUUAAGUUCCAUUUUAAAGAAUCUUUU